rnacentral:lncRNA from 1 species
AAAAAAAGAAGCAAAAAUGGGUUUUCGUUCUUGAACCAAAACUUCUAUCAUCAAUUUCUUCUUGCCAUCAAUCUUGCCAGUUUUUAUGCUUCUUCUUGCUUCUUUCUUUUGAUACCAUGUGAUGAGUUGAUUUGGAAAGAAAUUGUGGAUGGUAGAUCUUGAAGAGUGUAAGAAGUUCAUGGUUGGUCCAGUUGGAAUCAGUGAACAAAGGUGGUGGAGUUUGGAUCUGGAAGUUAGAAUUAAAGGUGGUGGGUGUUAUUGUUAUAUUGUUGUGUAGAAUAGUUUGGAUCUGAAAGUUUUAAAGUUCAU